rnacentral:rRNA from 1 species
GAGGAAGGAGGGAGGCGUGCUUAACACAUGCAAGUCGAACGGUGAACGAGGGAGCUUGCUCCCUCCGGAUCAGUGGCGAACGGGUGAGUAACACGUGAGCAAUCUGCCCCGAACUCUGGGAUAAGCGUUGGAAACGACGUCUAAUACCGGAUACGACGCGGGAGGGCAUCCUCUCCGCGUGGAAAGAACUUCGGUUCGGGAUGAGCUCGCGGCCUAUCAGCUUGUUGGUGAGGUAACGGCUCACCAAGGCGACGACGGGUAGCCGGCCUGAGAGGGUGACCGGCCACACUGGGACUGAGACACGGCCCAGACUCCUACGGGAGGCAGCAGUGGGGAAUAUUGCACAAUGGGCGCAAGCCUGAUGCAGCAACGCCGCGUGAGGGACGACGGCCUUCGGGUUGUAAACCUCUUUUAGCAGGGAAGAAGCGAAAGUGACGGUACCUGCAGAAAAAGCACCGGCUAACUACGUG